rnacentral:rRNA from 1 species
GGGUUGUGAGGUUAAGCGACUAAGCGUACACGGUGGAUGCCCUGGCAGUCAGAGGCGAUGAAGGGCGUGCUAAUCUGCGAUAAGCGCCGGUAAGGUGAUAUGAACCGUUAUAACCGGCGAUACCCGAAUGGGGAAACCCAGUGUGACUCGUCACACUAUCAUUAACUGAAUCCAUAGGUUAAUGAGGCGAACCGGGGGAACUGAAACAUCUAAGUACCCCGAGGAAAAGAAAUCAACCGAGAUUCCCCCAGUAGCGGCGAGCGAACGGGGAGGAGCCCAGAGCCUGAAUCAGUAUGUGUGUUAGUGGAAGCGUCUGGAAAGGCGCGCGAUACAGGGUGACAGCCCCGUACACAAAAGCGCAUAUGCUGUGAGCUCGAUGAGUAGGGCGGGACACGUGGUAUCCUGUCUGAAUAUGGGGGGACCAUCCUCCAAGGCUAAAUACUCCUGACUGACCGAUAGUGAACCAGUACCGUGAGGGAAAGGCGAAAAGAACCCCGGCGAGGGGAGUGAAAAAGAACCUGAAACCGUGUACGUACAAGCAGUGGGAGCACCCUUCGGGGUGUGACUGCGUACCUUUUGUAUAAUGGGUCAGCGACUUAUAUUCUGUAGCAAGGUUAACCGUAUAGGGGAGCCGGAGGGAAACCGAGUCUUAACCGGGCGUUAAGUUGCAGGGUAUAGACCCGAAACCCGGUGAUCUAGCCAUGGGCAGGUUGAAGGUUGGGUAACACUAACUGGAGGACCGAACCGACUAAUGUUGAAAAAUUAGCGGAUGACCUGUGGCUGGGGGUGAAAGGCCAAUCAAACCGGGAGAUAGCUGGUUCUCCCCGAAAGCUAUUUAGGUAGCGCCUCGUGAACUCAUCUCCGGGGGUAGAGCACUGUUUCGGCUAGGGGGCCAUCCCGGCUUACCAACCCGAUGCAAACUGCGAAUACCGGAGAAUGUUAUCACGGGAGACACACGGCGGGUGCUAACGUCCGUCGUGAAGAGGGAAACAACCCAGACCGCCAGCUAAGGUCCCAAAGUCAUGGUUAAGUGGGAAACGAUGUGGGAAGGCCCAGACAGCCAGGAUGUUGGCUUAGAAGCAGCCAUCAUUUAAAGAAAGCGUAAUAGCUCACUGGUCGAGUCGGCCUGCGCGGAAGAUGUAACGGGGCUAAACCAUGCACCGAAGCUGCGGCAGCGAACGUAUCACUUAAAGCGAUUCAGCGGGUUACGAUUGACGGAGCGAAGCGACGUCAAAGCGUAUACAAAGUCGAGUCGGUUUAAGGAUACGUUCGUUGGGUAGGGGAGCGUUCUGUAAGCCUGUGAAGGUGUGUCGUGAGGCAUGCUGGAGGUAUCAGAAGUG